rnacentral:tRNA from 1 species
GGGGUUGUGGCUCAGUGGUAGAGCACUUGCCUAGCACAUGCAAGGCCCUGGGUUCAAUCCUCAGCACCACA